CCUUUUUCUACUUUGUUUGAACAACCUGGUGGAAGAUUGCCUUAUUCUCAGUGCCUGCUGCAUUGAUUUUUUCGGUUUAACCCCUUUACAGCUUCAAGCCAUCCUUAAUAAAACCAUGUGACUUCUCCCGUUAUACAAAUAUACUGCGUUUGUUUUGAAGAAUCAGAUGGAAUAUAAACAAGCUGCUCUAUAAAUGGACUGGAAUCCGAAUAAAGAAACUCUGACUGGUGAACACAUCACUUUCAUAUGACAAUGGUGCUGACCAAGGAGCUGCCAUAAAGAAUUUCGGGCGAGAGGUCAGAGACAGAGAGAUAGAACGUCUUUGGAUCCCCCAAAUCUCAAUCCCACCUAGGAUGGCACAAGGUGCAGCACCAGUAGGCGAUCGGCAGAGUCAGACCUUGCCAAAUGACAAAGGAAAAGGAAGGGAUCUCCAGCUCCAAAGGCAGCAAUGACCUCAGCCAGAAGAAGCAUCCAAAGAAUGUGCGUUCCUUAUGCAAGGACCAAGCAGGAAG